rnacentral:rRNA from 1 species
AGUGAACGCUGGCGGUAGGCCUAACACAUGCAAGUCGAACGGCGGCACAGUAAGAGCUUGCUCUUACGGGUGGCGAGUGGCGGACGGGUGAGGAAUACAUCGGAAUCUACUUUUUCGUGGGGGAUAACGUAGGGAAACUUACGCUAAUACCGCAUACGACCUACGGGUGAAAGCAGGGGAUCUUCGGACCUUGCGCGAUUGAAUGAGCCGAUGUCGGAUUAGCUAGUUGGCGGGGUAAAGGCCCACCAAGGCGACGAUCCGUAGCUGGUCUGAGAGGAUGAUCAGCCACACUGGAACUGAGACACGGUCCAGACUCCUACGGGAGGCAGCAGUGGGGAAUAUUGGACAAUGGGCGCAAGCCUGAACCAGCCAUACCGCGUGGGUGAAGAAGGCCUUCGGGUUGUAAAGCCCUUUUGUUGGGAAAGAAAAGCAGCAGGUUAAUACCCCGCUGUUCUGACGGUACCCAAAGAAUAAGCACCGGCUAACUUCGUG